GCAUGAAUCUCAAGGACAACAUCAAACAUACCUUAGUCUAGCAAACCACCAUAGCCGAUUUUCUCAAGCUCUUCCCCUUCCUUUCUUUCCUCUAUUCGGCCAAAGAUGUUCAAGAAUGAACACUUUUUUUUUGUUUUCUUUCUUCAAUUCACGGCAAUGGGGGGGAAACAUGGAUGAGACAAUUUUUUUCAUCAUCAUUUACCUUUC
rnacentral:lncRNA from 1 species